AAAGCACAUCCGUCAAGUCUACAUAUUUCUUUGGUCUGUUUGUUGGUAGGCAGCAUAGUAGUUUGACAUGAAAUAGGUAUACCUACUUAGUUCAUCUCGUGUAUAUUAUGAAUAGGUAUAGUUUACGAUUUUAGUAAUUACUAAAUCUUUACAUUUAUUUUUUAUUUGUAUGGUGCCCAACAUUUAGAAGAAAGAAACGAAUAAUGGACUAAUUUUGUGGAGACUGUCACUGUUAUAAUCAAAUUAAACAAACAAAUUCUUGUAUUUCUAUAUUUUUAUAAAACGACCACCGUUCGAAUCAUUUCGUUCGCUAUAGUUUUAUUUGUUCGUGUAUAUUUCUGUGAGUAAUUCAAUUUUACCUUACGAUUUGUCUUGUUAAUAUAAUGUUGUCUAAAAAUACAUACUCAGUUAGGUUUAUUGUUAUGAAUAGAGCAGAUGUUUAUAUUACAAUGUAGUCUAUCCUAAACACGUUUUUUGAUCUUGCAGACGGAUCGCAACAGAAACUCUUAUGCAAUUUGUUUUAAUUUAAGUCGUGUAAAUAUUAUAAUUUUACAAGAAACUAACAUUCUAUACAGUCUUGUAGGUGAAUAUUAUCCGUUCCUUAGGAGUCUGGGUAAUAAUGGCCAUGUUAGAAAUGUCCAUAAACUAAAAAUGUAACCAUAAAUAGAUUGAUUCUUCGAAGAAUGUUUCAAAUAACAUACCAUUGAAUGAAAAAUCCGCGUCAUAAAUGUAUGAUAUGAAAAAACACUAAAAUUUUAAUUUUGGAAAUUAUCGGCUAUUUAAUUAGGUUUAAAAAAAUAGCUAAAGUAGGGUGUUGAGAAUGGAAUCCUCACGAGUAAGGUGAGUUUAGUUUCAAUCACAAGGGACGCUAUAUAUUUAUAUUAGUCUGUUAUUAUCCUUUUUUUUU